GAAAUCCACGCUAAUACCGCAUAUGCCCUACGGGGCAAAGCAGGGGACCUUCGGGCCUUGCGCUAUUGGAUGAGCCUAUGUCGGAUUAGCUUGUUGGUGAGGUAAAAGCUCACCAAGGCAACGAUCCGUAGCUGGUCUGAGAGGAUGAUCAGCCACACUGGGACUGAGACACGGCCCAGACUCCUACGGGAGGCAGCAGUGGGGAAUAUUGCACAAUGGGCGCAAGCCUGAUGCAGCAAUGCCACGUGUGUGAAGAAGGCCUGCGGGUUGUAAAGCACUUUUAUUAGGAAAGAAAAACCCGGAAUUAAUACUUCCGGCAUUGACGGUACCUAAAGAAUAAGCACCGGCUAACUCAGUGCCAGCAGCCGCGGUAAUACUGAGGGUGCAAGCGUUAAUCGGAAUUACUGGGCGUAAAGCGAGUGUAGGCGGCUACCUAAGUCGGAUGUGAAAGCCCUGGGCUCANCCUGGGAAAUUGCAUUC
rnacentral:rRNA from 1 species